CUCCCGUGCCUACUGAACUGGUAUCAGUGUUUUUUCUAAAAACUGGCUCAGUUCAGCAGGAACAGGAG
rnacentral:pre_miRNA from 11 species